CAGAAUGAAACGGAGCUGCUGAACGGGAGCCUCGUCGUCGGCGACCUCAAGCAUAGAAUUUUAUCGGGAGCUGUUUCUUCGGCCAAAAUGGCAACUUUUUCAGCUACUGCUUUUGAACGUUAUGGGCCUACUUUGUCGGUGUCUCUUGCAGAGUUUUAGUGUCCAUUUUAGGACUGUUUUAAGUUGAAAUUGGGAUGUUUUUGGGUGUUUUAAAAUGGAGGAUUUCAGCUGGAGUUUGGAACUAAAAUGAUGGCUUUUUAGGUGGUAUCAAUGGCUUAAAGAGUAACGGAUUUGGACGGUUGCUGCCUUCUCUUGUGUGUGAGUAAUGAAGCUUUUUCUUUGUUUGGAUGAG
rnacentral:lncRNA from 1 species